GAUUCAACAACUUUUAUAUAUUUAGUGUAUUAAUAGAAAAAACUUUAAUAAACUAUAUAUUUUAUUUUUAAUUAAAUAAUAUUAAGUAUUAAAUUUUUAAAUUAAAAUUAGUUGGGAAAUUUUUAUGGAUUUUUCCGUUGAAAAGUACAUUAAAAUAAAAUAUUUAAAAAAAAAAGUAGAAAAUAAAAAUCAAGUGUGAACGCGCUAGUUAUUCGCAAGGCACAUGAUGAGACUGAGACAAAGCCAAAGAAGACAACAUUUGCCGACAUCUCAUUGUAACACGGCGGUUCUUCUUCAGUGAGCCCCCAACCCAACCCUACAUCCUGCAUUUCCGUCCCCCCCCCCCCCCUUCCCCCUUGGCCCUUACCCUUUCCUUCUCUUACACACGUGCUAAAUGUGGUUUUAUCUCUUAACUUACCAAACUAUUCGUUUUUUCUUGCAAAAACCUUUUUUUU
rnacentral:lncRNA from 1 species